rnacentral:lncRNA from 1 species
GUUGUACCAUAAAUUUUGACUACGAUGUUUCUCGUCUAUUUUAUUUUUCUGUCGUCUUUUUUUUAAUCAGUCGCGACGUUCUAACGAAAUUUCGGCAGAGAGGUAUUUUAAAAUACCUCAUUUGUUUGUUCAAGUACUUUUUUUUUUAUUUAUUUUAUUAUUUAUUCUUUUUUUAUUUAUUAUUAUUUAUCAAUAUUUAUUAUUAUUAUUAUUUAUAUUUAUUUUAUUUUAUUUCUCAAAAAAAGCAACCCUUUCUCUUCCUUUUUUCUCUACGUUUCCUUUCUUCUUUAUUUUUUUUUUUUUAUUAUUUAUUUUAUUCAUCUUUUUNNNNNNNNNNNNNNNNNNNNNNNNNNNNNNNNNAAAAAAAAAUCAAAUUUGUUCAAAAACAGCAACAGCACGCUCCCCUCCCUUUUAUCUUAUUUUAUUAUUUGUUAUUUUUUUUUCUUCUUUAAUUUUAAACAAUACAAAAAAAAAAGAAAAAAACACGCAACAGUACUGCAACCGGUACUGCUGCGCCUCCUUGCCUCCUUUUUCUCUUCACCUUUUGCUGCAACUUUAACUACAACAAGCAACAGUACAUCCCUUUCCUGCAAAAAAAUCUCACUUUAAUCAACAAGUUCAAACAGCAGCAGACCAAACAUUUUGCUUUUGUAAUUUUCCAUAAAACUUUGUUCACUCACACACUCUAGAUCAAAGGUCAACUUUGAUCUUGAGAGCUCUAUAAAUAGAGCCAAAACACACGCAGAAAGAAAGCAGGGAAGAAGAGGAGUCCGAAUCUUUUGGUCUUCAAGGGUUAGUUCGACCUUAACUUAUCUUUUUUUUUUUCCUAUUUUGUUUAAAAGUCUUCCUUUUGGGUUUGUUUUGAUUUUUGUGUGUUUACCAGAAUAAAAAACGAAUCACAGAACUUAGAUCAAAUAUUUUGAAUAAUUGCUUUUUGUCUUGGUUCGGAUUUGGAUUCGAAAAACAGUUUCUUGGGUUUGAUUUUGGGUGUUUUGAGGGUGGAUUUAGUGUUUAACANN